rnacentral:sRNA from 1 species
GCUGGGCAUGGUGGUGCACACCUGUAAUCCCAGUGACUCUGGAGGCUGAGGCAGGAGGAUCUUGAGUUCAAACCCAGCCUCAGCAAUUUAGGGAGGCCUUAAGCAACUCAGUGAGCUCUUGUCUCUA